GCGUGUGUGAUGAAGGCCUUAGGGUUGUAAAGCACUUUCAGCUGUGAAGAUGAUGACGGUAGCAGCAGAAGAAGCCCCGGCUAACUCCGUGCCAGCAGCCGCGGUAAUACGGAGGGGGCAAGCGUUGUUCGGAAUUACUGGGCGUAAAGCGCGCGUAGGCGGCAACGACAGUCAGAGGUGAAAUGCCCGGGCUCAACCUGGGAGGUGCCUUUGAUACUUCGUUGCUUGGAUCCAGGAGAGGUGAGCGGAAUUCCGAGUGUAGAGGUGAAAUUCGU
rnacentral:rRNA from 1 species